rnacentral:lncRNA from 1 species
GAGCUUAUAGUAGUUUUUAUUUUGAUUGAUAUUUAUUUUAUAAAAUUGAUAUUAAGAAUAGGAUGAAGUGAUUGAAAGUUGUUAUACAGAUAUGGCUCAAUGUGAUAAGUGCAAUCAUACCCAUUUCAUUCCUGCUGUUUUCAAAAGUCAUGGCUAAAGAUAGUAAUAAAUUAGGGCUUUGAGCAGCUUCUUGUGCACAGAUGGUUUGAACAUCAUGAUAAACUUAAAAUUAUAGCAAAGUGACCUAAGCUGAGGUUUAUUGAAAGCAGGCGUGGUCAAUGGUGGCUUGUACACAAAGGUUACUACUACCGUAGAGACUGUACUUUACAGUAUAAAACUCAUUGGAGGUGUCGUUGGUAUGAUAAAUGUAAAUGCUACGCUAGAGUUCAUACAAAAAAUGAUGAGGUUGUCAAAGAACUUGGAUUUCAUAAUCAUGAACCAGACUGCUUGCCGGUGCCUGAAGCUUAUGAAAAUAAUUUUUUUCAUUAAGACUGCUAAAGCUCAUUUUAGUAAAGAAAAAAGUUGAGUUUUUCGGCUCUUUACGAAAUAAUUUUGUUGAAGACAAAUAUGUGGGACAAGCACUGAAAAUUGAGGGAACAGCAUUUCCUUUCAGUCGUACUUAAUGGAACGUCAAUUUUCUUCCCCUUUUUUUCCACUGUAUUUCUCAGAAACAUGCUGAAAAUCUUUCUCAUGGAAAUGUAAUUCACAAACCUAAAUCCAGAAAAUGUCAAAAUAGACCUGAUUAAAUUAAUUUUAUAAAGUAAUAAAAGUUAGAUUUCUUGUAAUGCAAAUUUUUUUUUAACAAAACAGGUAAUAUCAAGCAUAUGUGUCUUUAUUUUCCUACUCAGG